UACGUAGGGGGCUAGCGUUGUCCGGAUUUAUUGGGCGGAAAGAGCGUGUAGGCGGCCAUGUAGGUCCGGUGGGAAAACUCGAGGCUUAACCUCGAGAUGUCAUCGGAAACCAUUUGGCUAGAGUCCGGAAGAGGAGAGUGGAAUUCCUGGUGUAGCGGUGAAAUGCGCAGAUAUCAGGAAGAACACCAAUGGCGAAAGCAGCUCUCUGGGACGGUACUGACGCUGAGACGCGAAAGCGUGGGGAGCGAACAGG
rnacentral:rRNA from 1 species